GCCGAAGUGGCGGAAUUGGUAGACGCGCUACCUUGAGGUGGUAGUGGGCUAAAGCCUGUGCGGGUUCGAGUCCCGCCUUCGGCACCA
rnacentral:tRNA from 2 species